UGGGGAAUAUUGCACAAUGGGGGAAACCCUGAUGCAGCGACGCCGCGUGAGCGAAGAAGGUUUUCGAAUCGUAAAGCUCUGUCCUAUGAGAAGAUAAUGACGGUAUCAUAGGAGGAAGCCCCGGCUAAAUACGUGCCAGCAGCCGCGGUAAUACGUAUGGGGCGAGCGUUGUCCGGAAUUAUUGGGCGUAAAGCGCGCGCAGGUGGUUUAGAAAGUCUGAUGUGAAAGCCCACGGCUCAACCGUGGAGGGUCAUUGGAAACUAAUAAACUUGAGUGCAGGAGAGAAAAGUGGAAUUCCUAGUGUAGCGGUGAAAUGCGUAGAGAUUAGGAGGAACACCGGUGGCGAAAGCGGAUUUUGGGCAUGCAACUGACACUGAGGCGCGAAAGCGUGGGGAGCAAACAGG
rnacentral:rRNA from 1 species